AGAGUUUGAUCAUGGCUCAGAUUGAACGCUGGCGGCAUGCUUUACACAUGCAAGUCGACGGCAGCAUGGGUGCUUGCACCUGAUGGCGAGUGGCGAACGGGUGAGUAAUAUAUCGGACAUGUCCGGAAGUGGGGGAUAACGUAGCGAAAGUUACGCUAAUACCGCAUAUGCCCUGAGGGGAAAGGAGGGGAUCGUAAGACCUUUCGCUUUCGGAGUGGCUGAUAUCAGAUUAGCUGUUGGUGGGGUAAAGGCCUACCAAGGCGACGAUCUGUAGCGGGUCUGAGAGGAUGAUCCCCACACUGGGACUGAGACACGGCCCAGACUCCUACGGGAGGCAGCAGUGGGGAAUUUUGACAAUGGGCGCAAGCCUGAUCCAGCCAUGCCGCGUGAGUGAAGAAGGCCUUCGGGUUGUAAGCUCUUUCAGCUGGAAAAAAAUCGUACUUAUUAAUACUAAGUAUGGAUGAUGGUACCGCAGAAGAAGCACCGGCUAACUACGUGCCAGCAGCCGCGGUAA
rnacentral:rRNA from 1 species